UGGAAAACCAGAAGGAAUAUUUUCAAUAUAUGUAAUAAUUCUCUUAAAUUUUAAAUUUUAGAGUGAGAUGUUUGCAAGAGAAUUAUUGGAAGUCAUUUAAGAUAUCAUAAUCUGAAAUUACUCAAAUCAUAGCCACUUAAAUGACUUGCUUUUAAUGUGUGUCGGUGUGUUACCAAGUGCAGAAAGGACCACCCCGCCAAGCACACACCCAAGGGCACACAAAUUGUAAAAAAGCUGUUUUGAAGCAGUUUGUGAUCUGCAAGCAACUCAAAGGAUCCUGGGGUGAAGCCUACAAAGGUAGGGUAGAUUUCAUUUCUGAAUUUAGCUGAGGGUCUCUUAAUCCAUCACUAUACAGAUCUGUUUCCUGGUUUGAUAUGGUCUAAAGUGGACAUAAGUGACAGUAACAUGUCUUCCUUUCUGUAACAUUUCAUGCACCCAUUUUAGUGCUGUCAUUUAAAUUUUAAGAGUGAACUAUUAACUGCUGCUGGAGUUUUCUGCAUUGUCUUUGAGAUUCACUGACUAUAGCUGUAACUUGCAGAGGUGCAUCAGCUUGGCAUAACUUUGCAUAUCUGGCUGUAUCCUGGA